UUCAACUGCACCGUAAUCUGGCCUAACAGCACAUCCUAUGUCUGCCAAUACAUCUGCCUGCAGCACUCUAACUGGUGCAGGUCAGUAGGUAACUAUGCUUCCACCUCCUAUUACCCCACAACCAACUUUCUUCAGAUGAGAUACAUGAUAAACAGGGUGAAUAAAAGACUGCUCUAGAAGCUGUAAAUUGAAAGCAACAAAACAGAAU
rnacentral:lncRNA from 1 species